rnacentral:tRNA from 1 species
GCCGAGGUGGCGAAAUUGGCAGACGCACGGGAUUCAGAGUCCCGCGGGGGCAACUCUGUAGGGGUUCAAGUCCCCUCCUCGGCACCA